UACGUAGGGGGCAAGCGUUGUCCGGAUUUAUUGGGCGUAAAGAGCUCAUAGGCGGCUUGUCGCGUCGGCUGUGAAAUCCCGCGGCUCAACUGCGGGUCUGCAGUCGAUACGGGCAGGCUAGAGUUCGGUAGGGGAGACUGGAAUUCCUGGUGUAGCGGUGAAAUGCGCAGAUAUCAGGAGGAACACCGAUGGCGAAGGCAGGUCUCUGGGCCGAUACUGACGCUGAGGAGCGAAAGCGUGGGGAGCGAACAGG
rnacentral:rRNA from 1 species